rnacentral:rRNA from 1 species
GUGCCUAACACAUGCAAGUCGAGCGAAGCACUCUGCUUUGAUUCUUCGGAUGAAGAGCUCUGUGACUGAGCGGCGGACGGGUGAGUAACGCGUGGGCAACCUGCCUCACACAGGGGGAUAACAGUUAGAAAUGACUGCUAAUACCGCAUAAGACCACAGCACCGCAUGGUGCGGGGGUAAAAACUCCGGUGGUGUGAGAUGGGCCCGCGUCUGAUUAGGUAGUUGGUGAGGUAACGGCUCACCAAGCCGACGAUCAGUAGCCGACCUGAGAGGGUGACCGGCCACAUUGGGACUGAGACACGGCCCAAACUCCUACGGGAGGCAGCAGUGGGGAAUAUUGCACAAUGGGGGAAACCCUGAUGCAGCGACGCCGCGUGAGCGAAGAAGUAUUUCGGUAUGUAAAGCUCUAUCAGCAGGGAAGAAACUGACGGUA